GUGCUUGCUUCGGCAACAUAUACACUAAAAUGGGAACGAGUUUUAAUAGACUGGAGUGGUCCCUGCACAAGGAUGACAUGCACAUUUAUGAAAUGUUCCAUAUUUUU